rnacentral:rRNA from 1 species
AGAACGAACGCUGGCGGCAGGCUUAACACAUGCAAGUCGAACGCUCGUAGCAAUACGGGAGUGGCAGACGGGUGAGUAACGCGUGGGAACAUACCCUCCGGUUCGGAAUAGCUCAGGGAAACUUGGAUUAAUACCGGAUACGGCUGAGAGGCGAAAGAUUUAUCGCCGGAGGAUUGGCCCGCGUUCGAUUAGCUUGUUGGUGAGGUAACGGCUCACCAAGGCGAUGAUCGAUAGCUGGUCUGAGAGGAUGAUCAGCCACAUUGGGACUGAGACACGGCCCAAACUCCUACGGGAGGCAGCAGUGGGAAUAUUGGACAAUGGGCGCAAGCCUGAUCCAGCCAUGCCGCGUGGGUGAUGAAGGCCCUAGGGUUGUAAAGCCCUUUCGGCGGGAAGAUAAUGACGGUACCCGCAGAAGAACGCCCGGCUAACUUCGUGCCAGCAGCCGC